rnacentral:rRNA from 1 species
GAGCGCCGUAGCAAUACGGAGCGGCAGACGGGAGAGUAACACGUGGGAACGUACCCUUUGGUUCGGAACAACCCAGGGAAACUUGGGCUAAUACCGGAUAAGCCCUUACGGGGAAAGAUUCAUCGCCGAAGGAUCGGCCCGCGUCUGAUUAGCUAGUUGGUGGGGUAAUGGCCCACCAAGGCGACGAUCAGUAGCUGGUCUGAGAGGAUGAUCAGCCUCACUGGGACUGAGACACGGCCCAGACUCCUACGGGAGGCAGCAGUGGGGAAUAUUGGACAAUGGGCGCAAGCCUGAUCCAGCCAUGCCGCGUGGGUGAUGAAGGCCCUAGGGUUGUAAAGCCCGUUCGGCGGGGAAGAUAAUGACGGUA